ensembl:lncRNA
UGAUGCUGCACACACUACUCUGUCCUUGAUAAAUUUGUUUUAAUAACAAGAGGAUAAUAUUAACAGGAGGAAAAAAAAAUAAAAAGGUUCUGAGGUUAUUUUCCUGUUUUUAAGGAGCCACUGUUGCAUUGGUUGCUGUGUUUUGCAGUGGGUCCCUCAGCCAGGACCACCUACAACAUAGGGACAGCAGCACUGAGAUGAGCACAUUCAUGGGUGGCUGCUUAUGGGGCAGGAGCCGGGGAGGACCCUGCCAGGUUCCUCCAGCCACCACCCCACGAUGCUCAUAGGAUGCUGCCCCCUCACCUGUCACUGCCAGCUCCAAAGCAGCCCAGAGCCUUAGCAAAGGGCUGGGUGUCCCUUUCAGCUCUUACUGUGCAUUUGUAUCUCUUGUUUCAAGCAAGAGUUGAACAUACACUUGAUGCAGCUAAGGAAAACACAGGGAGCCAACAGCUGCUCCCUGCAGCAUGCACGGGCUUUACCUUUUAAGUAAGUAGAAAUGGAAACUGCAGCAUGCAAGUCUCCAGCAUAGUCUGAAGCCUCCACACAGAACAGCAGAGAAGGCCUUUAGUGCCAGCAAGAGGUUUUCAAAGCAGUGGGUGAAGCAGGGCUGGGAUGUGCCCUCUUGGAGUGGAGUGAACUCUUGGAUCUGCAGCAAGACCAUGGAUGCAGAUGCACCAUUGGCUGUGGACAGGCAGCACUCCCCAUGCACGAUGGAAACACGUCCCCAAGGUGCCCAGGACAGAAGGACUGUGAAGGUGAGAAGAAGAGUGGCAGCAUCAAGAAGCACAUGCAGCAUCAUGGGGCUCACCAAGGGGAAAUCUUCCAUACCCAGUCUAAUAGCCUUCCACAAUGAAAUGACUUGCUGUGUAGAUGAGAGAGCAGUGAGUGCUGUCUACCUUGACUUCAGCAAGGCUCUUGACACAGUUCCCUCUAACAUCCUCAUAGGUAAGCACAGGAAGCAUCCGUUGAUACUGUUGCUUGUCUGUUUUCUGGAGAAAAUGCACAGGACACAGUUAUCAAAGCACAGAGUGUCAGGGCAAGGUGUGCAGCACAACCAGGCAUUCUGUACGGGAUGCUGUGAGAAUAAAUAACUUCAAGAAAUUUUGGAGAGCCUUUUUGCUGGUCUUCUUCUCCACAAAAUUGUGCAGCCCAAUCCAAGUGGGCAAACCCCCUGCCAGUAAGAGAAUGAUAUACUCUGAAAGGGCCUGCAGAGUUCAGGAACAUCUUAGUUACUUAAGCAAGCUCCUGCAUCGCCCACAAGCUUUUCAGCAGCUGAAGGGGAGCACAAACUUUUGCAGCAAAGCAUCUACAAAUCUUACUCUCUGCUGGGACAAUCUCCCCAGACUCUCCACCAUGGUGCUCAGAUUCACGGUGCAAAGCAACAGCUCUUAAUCCAGUCCUUCGGCAUCAGAGGAAGAAAUUACCUUAUCCCUAUUGGAAAGGAUUUCCUAGUAGAGUAAGUGUCUCAAACCUCUUGCUACAAACUCAGUGAAUAUGUCAGUAAAAAUACCUGCCAGUAUGGAAAUGCUGAUCAGAGCUGGAGUUCUGAAAUAAUAUUUCUGGAUUAACACAAGCUCUCAAAAUAAAAUAUAUAUAUAUAUAUAUAUAUAUUAUGUGCUUAACAAGUUACCUGUCAUCUGAUAGGUUAUGAUGGCAAAAAUCUUCCAGAAUUGAGUUGACCUUAAUGCAUAAAUGUAGAAAGCAGUGUAGGGGAGACACGGUGAAAUUGCAAGCUUUUUGUGACUGUUUGCUCUCAAAACACUGUGACUGGUUCUACACCUGAAAGCCACUAAAUGUAUUUGUUGUUUGAUAUUUUUUAAGUGCCGUUAUGCCUGAGAGGUGUUAAUGGCUCAUCCAUUAGUUGUGACCCAGACUUCACAGCUUCACCCCUGACUUCAUUAGAGCGAUUGUGUGGGUUAAU